CUUUCUAAUAUUUAACAGCUACCCUAGAGAAACAACUGCGCAUGCGCCAAACAGCAGCCGGUCAAUGUAAACACAACGUGUUUUUAGGGUUUGUUUACAUCCGUACACUAAGGAGGGUGCAGCAGUGCAGCAUAAUGUGAAGUUGGAGUUUAUGUUUCAUCCGGAUGAAGAAUUGAAGGCUUAUUUCUACUAAAGAAGCUGGAGAAUACGAAGAACAUUCUGUGUGGUGGACAGCCCAGCCUAUCACUGCACAUAGAUCAGAAUCUGUUGAAGGAAUCAUGACAGCUGAGAGUGUUUCAGUCAUCGACCUGCCCCACUGGGAGAGUGGAAAAAGGAGGAUUCGAUUCCUUUAUUUAGCUGCCAACAAUUCCUUCAGAGUUACCAAACAGUGUACAAAUGAGGAGCAGAUGAUCCCCCUUUUUCUUGGAGCUGAUCUUUUUUCCAACACAGAUGUCCGUACCGAAAACCAUCCCAGAUAUCAUGCAAAAUUUGCCAAAAAGGGACUGGCCACCAAGCUGGUCUUUUCCUCAGGUAUUUAUUAAUAUUUUUUUAUAUUAAUCAGGAGUGGUGUUUUUAUAAAGAUUUUAAACUUUAGUUUAAAAUGGAUGGAACAAAAGCACAUCACUGUAAUACUGGAGUAUUAUUUUUACUUCACUACUGUACUUAAUUACUAAAAUGCUGUAUCUGUAUCUACUAGAGUAUUAUUUUUACUACUUCACUACUGUACUUAAGUACUAAAAUACUGUAUCUGUAUCUACUGGAGUAUUAUUUUUACUACUUCACUACUGUACUUAAGUACUAAAAUACUGUAUCUGUAUCUACUGGAGUAUUAUUUUUACUAC
rnacentral:lncRNA from 1 species